CUGCUCAGUAACACGUGGACAACCUACCCUAUGGAGGGGGAUAACCCCGGGAAACUGGGGAUAAUACCCCAUAGACUAUAGAUGCUGGAAUGCUGAAUGUUGUAGUUGAAAGGUCCGCCGCCAUAGGAUGGGUCUGCGGCCGAUUAGGUUGUUGUUGGGGUAACGGCCCAACAAGCCUGUAAUCGGUACGGGUUGUGGGAGCAAGAGCCCGGAGAUGGAUUCUGAGACACGAAUCCAGGCCCUACGGGGCGCAGCAGGCGCGAAAACUUUACAAUGCGGGAAACCGUGAUAAGGGAACUCCGAGUGCCCGUAAAAUCGGGCUGUCCAUCAGUUUAAAUAACUGGUGAAGAAAGGGCCGGGCAAGACCGGUGCCAGCCGCCGCGGUAAUACCGGCGGCUCGAGUGGUGGCCACUAUUACCGGGCUUAAAGCGUUCGUAGCUGGUCUGUUAAGUCUCUGGGGAAAUCUACUGGCUUAACCAAUAGGCGUCUCAGGGAUACUGGCAGACUAGGGACCGGGAGAGGUGAGAGGUACUCCAGGGGUAGGAGUGAAAUCCUGUAAUCCUUGGGGGACCACCUGUGGCGAAGGGCGUCUCACCAGAACGGCUCCGACAGUGAGGGACGAAAGCUGGGGGAGCAAACCGGAUUAGAUACCCCGGGUAGUCCCAGCUGGUAAACGAUGCGCGUUAGGUGUAUCGGUGACCACGAGUCACCGAGGUGCCGAAGAGAAAUCGUGAAACGUGCCGCCUGGGAAGUACGGUCGCAAGGCUGAAACUUAAAGGAAUUGGCGGGGGAGCACCACAACAGGUGGAGCCUGCGGUUUAAUCGGACUCAACGCCGGAAAUCUCACCGGAUAAGACAGCUGGAUGAUAGUCGGGCUGAAGACUCUACUUGACUAGCUGAGAGGAGGUGCAUGGCCGUCGUCAGUUCGUACUGUGAAGCAUCCUGUUAAGUCAGGCAACGAGCGAGACCCGUGCCAA
rnacentral:rRNA from 1 species